rnacentral:rRNA from 2 species
CUGGUAUUGAUUGGUGCUUGCAUCAUGAUUUACAUUUGAGUGAGUGGCGAACUGGUGAGUAACACGUGGGAAACCUGCCCAGAAGCGGGGGAUAACACCUGGAAACAGAUGCUAAUACCGCAUAACAACUUGGACCGCAUGGUCCGAGUUUGAAAGAUGGCUUCGGCUAUCACUUUUGGAUGGUCCCGCGGCGUAUUAGCUAGAUGGUGGGGUAACGGCUCACCAUGGCAAUGAUACGUAGCCGACCUGAGAGGGUAAUCGGCCACAUUGGGACUGAGACACGGCCCAAACUCCUACGGGAGGCAGCAGUAGGGAAUCUUCCACAAUGGACGAAAGUCUGAUGGAGCAACGCCGCGUGAGUGAAGAAGGGUUUCGGCUCGUAAAACUCUGUUGUUAAAGAAGAACAUAUCUGAGAGUAACUGUUCAGGUAUUGACGGUAUUUAACCAGAAAGCCACGGCUAACUACGUGCCAGCAGCCGCGGUAAUACGUAGGUGGCAAGCGUUGUCCGGAUUUAUUGGGCGUAAAGCGAGCGCAGGCGGUUUUUUAAGUCUGAUGUGAAAGCCUUCGGCUCAACCGAAGAAGUGCAUCGGAAACUGGGAAACUUGAGUGCAGAAGAGGACAGUGGAACUCCAUGUGUAGCGGUGAAAUGCGUAGAUAUAUGGAAGAACACCAGUGGCGAAGGCGGCUGUCUGGUCUGUAACUGACGCUGAGGCUCGAAAGUAUGGGUAGCAAACAGGAUUAGAUACCCUGGUAG